rnacentral:lncRNA from 1 species
UUGUGAGCAGUAUUACGUACAAAGGGUCUGUUCGAUUCAGCUGCACCACUUGAACCAGUUCACGCGGUGCCGCACCUUGCCGUUCGUUUCAGCGGUGUAGCUUAGCACCCCCUGCACCCUAGCGUUCCUUUCAAAAAGUGCAGCAAAGGUGCAGCGCUGGUUCAGGAAUUCUCAGACCCUGCUCUGCCGGUGGUGCCGCGUUGGUGCACACGCGGUUCACGAACUUCCACACUUGAGAGCCGACCACAGCAGACGAUGUCAGCGAACGACUUGCCGAUGCUGUCUGUACUUGUAAACGGGGCGCAAACGCAGGUUACCCCUGUAGUCGACGAGGAUGGGAGUCGCAUUCCCUUCGGCGAUGGUUUUGCCACAGAACGCCAGGUAUGUUAACUCUUUUUAGUCACAUGGGGUCAAUUUCUUGUUGUAAGCUCCUUCAAUUCAGCUGUCAGCGCCUGUGAAUAUGGUUAACACGAUGUAUUCUUUGUUUAGCUAUAGCAGUGUGCCUGUUUGUCAAUAUGCCAGUACUGAAGUGUACAAAAUGCAUGUUAUUCUGAUCCAGAAAUUUAUCGCGCUUUGUUUCCCGUGCAACAAAGGUGGAGGGAAUAGUAAAUACGUAGUAACAUGCGUAAAAAUUAGAAAUGUUGGCUGCGACAAAAGAAAGAAGGCGUUAACAUUUAUUUGUUGCACUGCACAGUACAAACUCGUAUGCCAAUCGUGAAAAAAUUGAAGUAACUAUUAGUAGACUUCGCUGUGGCAUUCUGGCACCCUCACCGAUUUGUCACAUGUGUAGUGAAGAUGAGACCAUAGAAAAUUUUUUUAAAUUCUUGUCGACGAUUUAUUAGCUUAAGUAAACGAACCCUACAAACACCACUCUGCUUUCUUCAAUUAGAUUUAACUGUUCAAAAUGUACUAUCUUUGGGUGCCCCUACACUUCGGCAUAGCGACAGGAAGGUUAGCGCUGCCAUCUAAGAUUUUCUUUUAGGAUCAAUGAGAUUUCAACUCUGAAUACAAAAUUUCAAGCUUCUUUUUCUUUCACUAAAAUUGAAUUUGAACUGUUUUAUUAUAAUUAUGGUAGAAUUUUCAUUUUCGUAAAAUCAUGCAGGCUCUAUAAUCUUUGCCUUUUGAUUAUUACUUACCUAUUAUGAAAUUUUGACCUAUUUUACACUUUCCUAUAAACUACCCAAUUCUUGGCCAAUCCCCCAGAGUGGGUACGUGCCACUAGGUCACAAGAAUCUACAUGUACAUCUACGUCUGAGUGCAUAGGUUGACAAGUCGCUCCUAUUUACUACUGAGCCCACGUGUGAAGCUUCGAAUACGUUAGUCCAGAGUAGAUGCAUGCCUACAACUCAAUGUGGUACUUUUUUCUGUCACAGAUGGGACGGUCAUCACAGGGAUAUUUCGAGAAUGUGACACUCACACGUCACCUGCCAUGGAGGCAACACCUGCGGACCUCGGCGCCGCACCGAUGGAGGAACGAUCCGGAUCCCCCGAGGCUGAACAUUGGAGUGCUCGGAGGACCCGGUUCCUCAUUUUACUAUACAAAGAGCUUAAUCCUCUCGUCGGGAAAAAAGGCGGCCUUAAGUAAGUUUCAUUUAUUUUCUCAUUGACGUGUUAACAAAAAAUUUAAUUUUAACUUUGUUUGCUUUGCCACUUGUGAGCAUAUUUCAGCAGCUUUUAAUGUGCUACAAUUGCCCAUUUUUAAUCCAUUACUUUUUUUUUUCACAGGACAAAAAAGGCCAUGUGGCAAGCAAUUGCUCUUAUGAUCACUACACAAUUCUCAGCUGUGAUGACUGAGCUGCAGGUGCAAAAUAAAUGGAAGAGCCUUGAACGCUCUUAUAAGAAGACGAAAACAAAAAACAAUUCAUCCGGACAAUCAACGGCUUCGUGUGAAUAUGAAGAAGAGCUAAGUGACGUUCUUGAAAAAGAACAUCACAUUACACCUACAGUGCUGAUGAAGCCUGGAGCAACAAUUGAAAAAGACAGCAGGUGCAGUUGCCUCAUUUUGACAGAAGUUUAGUUAUCCCCCUUAAUCCUGCACUUUGUUUUUCAGCAAGUCUCCCAGCGCUAAUGACGGCAUUGACAACAUGGAGCCAGAAUUGUCAACGGGCAAACCCCUGCCAAGCCCUGCAUCAGCUGCAGUUGUGAAUGCACACCCAAAGGAUGCCUUGCCAAGAAAAAAGGACAGCAGAUCGUUGAAUUCUCUUUUAAAAGAAUUUAAAGAGGCAAAGGAAGAGCGGGCCGAACGCUUUGACAGAAAAAUGGCCUUAUUAGAGCGGCUGGUUACAGCUGUUGAGAAGGUUGCCAAAACGGCUCCUGAAUAAAUAUUUCCAAAAAGAACAAA